rnacentral:misc_RNA from 1 species
UAUAUAUAUAUAUUUUUUUUUCUCUUGAGCAUCACAAAACUUUAACUGCAGUACGUUGCAAGACAGGCAAAGUCUCUAGCAAAUCAUAAGUUAACAUGGAGGCUUUAGGCUUGGCAGGCCGGUCAGAAAAUCCCACCGGCAAUGGAGCAAGCACUGUUGUUCUCUCACAAGUACCUAGCCACUUGGACUGCAUAUACUUAUGCUUCCUCCAUGGACCUAAGUGCAUCUUCUUCUCCUUCAUGCACUUUUUUCCUGCUGAACAUAAUAUUUUUAUCAAAGCUUUUAGCCUCUCUUCUUUUCCCACAAAUAUUUCUGGCAGCCGAUUAAUUAAUUGGUUAUACUCUUCACUUGCUCUUGCCAUCUCGAAUUCUCCUCGAAAGUUCAAUUCUAUUAUCACUCUCACUUCCCCUUUCUUGGAGCUUAAUUUCUCCAUCACUUCCAGGUAAGUGUGUUCCCCUGAUGGGAUUUCUUGGGAGCUCUUCCAUUUGGACCUGCAAAUGGCAGAAUUAUAACCUUCUGCUUGAAGCCGUAAUGAUAUCUCUCUCUGCAAGCAAUUCCGGCACUCUCCGGCUGCCGCCUUUUGACAUCUGCAAUGCAGGCCUACCAGUUUAAUCUCCUUUACUGCGGCUUUUGUAGCUUGACGAAUUGUCGUUUCCAGGGAAGCAGUUCUAUACAAUGUUGCCUGAAGAAGUUGAUUUUGUGUUUCCCAAAAUUUUCUGUUUUCUUCAACACUAGAAGAAUUAUCAUCCUCAAUAUAAUCAAUAGAGUCAAUACAAUUCUCGGGUGUCUCAUCUUGCUCUUCCAAGAAACCGAGAAAAUCGUCAGCGAAGCUCGUGGGUUUGUCGGAAAAUCGGAUUAUUUUGUCACAAUCCCAGCGAAUUAUCAAAGGUUUUCCGGCCAUGGCUUGAGCCAUGUGUGUAUUUUUUCCAUCUAAUUUUAAU